GCGAACGGGUGAGUAACACGUGAGCAACCUGCCCUCGACUCCGGGAUAACCACCGGAAACGGUGGCUAAUACUGGAUAUGACCUCUUGCCGCAUGGUGGGGGGUGGAAAGUUUUUCGGUCGGGGAUGGGCUCGCGGCCUAUCAGCUUGUUGGUGGGGUGAUGGCCUACCAAGGCGACGACGGGUAGCCGGCCUGAGAGGGUGACCGGCCACACUGGGACUGAGACACGGCCCAGACUCCUACGGGAGGCAGCAGUGGGGAAUAUUGCGCAAUGGGCGGAAGCCUGACGCAGCGACGCCGCGUGAGGGAUGAAGGCCUUCGGGUUGUAAACCUCUUUCAGCUCCGAAGAAGCGAGAGUGACGGUAGGAGCAGAAGAAGCACCGGCUAACUACGUGCCAGCAGCCGCGGUAAUACGUAGGGUGCAAGCGUUGUCCGGAAUUAUUGGGCGUAAAGAGCUCGUAGGCGGCUCGUCGCGUCUGCUGUGAAAGCCCGGGGCUUAACCCCGGGUCUGCAGUGGGUACGGGCGGGCUAGAGUGCGGUAGGGGAGACUGGAAUUCCUGGUGUAGCGGUGAAAUGCGCAGAUAUCAGGAGGAACACCGGUGGCGAAGGCGGGUCUCUGGGCCGUAACUGACGCUGAGGAGCGAAAGCAUGGGUAGCGAACAGGAUUAGAUACCCUGGUAGUCCAUGCCGUAAACGUUGGGCGCUAGGUGUGGGCCGCAUUCCACGUGGUCCGUGCCGCAGCUAACGCAUUAAGCGCCCCGCCUGGGGAGUACGGCCGCAAGGCUAAAACUCAAAGGAAUUGACGGGGCCCCGCACAAGCGGCGGAGCAUGCGGAUUAAUUCGAUGCAACGCGAAGAACCUUACCAAGGCUUGACAUGCAGGGAAAUCCUCCAGAGAUGGUGGGUCCGC
rnacentral:rRNA from 1 species